CACCGGCGGCUCGAGUGGUAACCGCUAUUAUUGGGUCUAAAGGGUCUGUAGCCGGCCCUGUGAGUCUCUUGGGAAAUCCGGCAGCUUAACUGUCGGGCUAUCAGGAGAUACUGCAGGGCUCGAGACCGGGAGAGGUGAGAGGUACUUCAGGGGUAGGGGUGAAAUCUUGUAAUCCUUGAAGGACCACCAGUGGCGAAGGCGUCUCACCAGAACGGAUCUGACGGCAAGGGACGAAAGCUAGGGGCACGAACCGG
rnacentral:rRNA from 1 species